rnacentral:lncRNA from 1 species
GCAAGUGCAACAGGAUGUAGUAAUGAGAUUAGAGGAGAAGGUUACUAGCCAAUCCCAAGUUGUGCCGAAACCAAUUAGACCAACUGAUUUUCACGGAAAUAUAAAAAUGUUACUAGAACACAAGAUAGAUGAAUCUUAUAGUGAAACAGCAUCCACUAAUUGCCAAUCCGAGUCCUCUCUGAAAGUCUUGUCAUCAAGAGUGGAAAGUGGAAUUGGCUAUGAGUUCUCUUCACCACACAAUGAGGAUGUAUGUCCCACAUGUCUUGAAGGUAACAGUGGAGGAAAAACCCACAUAGAAGAUAUGCAUACACCUUUUACAUAGCAUCUGGUAUUUUCGUGGUCAAAACUUUGUAAGGCCUUCUGAAAUCAUUUGAAAGUCAAGUGACACGGGGCAAUUAAAUCUGCGUUAACCUCUUCAAGACUUCAACCACAAAUAUUACUAGUUGAUUGAAUUAACACAAUCCUCCUUAUAAUAUUCACUAAAACCCUUAAACAUUAGUAAGGAGUGCUUUUAACUCACAGAAAAGUGAGCUAUACCAUUUCGACAUCUUCAAUUGGCUAUAUUUAUGUUUUCCUUCGAAUGCGUUGGCAAAUUUUUGUUAGGCUGGGUGGACUAUUGCUUCUGAAAUACACUAGCAUCUAUAGUAUAUAUGUUAAACUUUUUUUCAUUUCUCCUGUUAUUGUUGAGUGAAAGUGUAGAGUAUGCAAUGUGCACUUCCUCCCCAAAAUUGCUGAAACUCGAGUUUUAUUUCAAAGACGGUUAUUGCAUUGUCAGCAUGAAUUGAUAUUUACUUGAUUCCAUUUUCUCAUUUAUUUCCUCCUCCUGUCUAGAUUAUGCUCUUUGAUGAAUCAAUUUAAAGUGCCACUGUCCAAGGACUGGAUAUAUGCUAGAGGAUAUGAAAUGUAAAUUUGCUGAUGCUGGAUGCAAGGUGGGUUCGCAAUUGUUUUUGUUCUUAUAUAUGGAUUAUCAAAGGAUACAUAGCAUUUUGAGGUUGAAUUCUAUAUUUUGAGUUUUCCUUUUCCGAUCCACCCAAAAUUCUGUUAAUUAUCUGCUCAUUAUGGAUGUUUUGAAAAGUUAGCAGUAAUCAAUAAUAUGUUUUACUCUUCGAAAUCUUGCCUUUUCCUCUUAUUUGUGCCUCUCAGUGGAGUUAAUAACCCAAAUGGUCUCUAAACUUUGCAAAAAGCUUUCGCGGGGUCACUGAACUUUGAAAAUCACCCAAAUCAUCACUGAAUUUUGCAAAAAGUAUCCACGAGAUGACUGAACUUUAAAAAUCAUCUCAUUCAUCACUAAACUUUGCAAAAUGUUUUCAGUGACCCUGUGAAAAUCUUUUGGAUGGAUUUAAUUGUGAACCAAGAAAGGUUUUGACUGUUGAAUCUCUUUAGAAUUACAUGGUCAAUUCUUGCAAGGACCUUAAAUUCAUAGUUUUAUUUGGGUUCAGAGAAGACGUGAGUUGGGACGACGACAAUGAGUUCCAUCUGCUGUUGUUUCCAUGUUCAUGAUGGGGAUGGUAGUGCUGGAUCGAAUACAAGGAACCAAGAUUUUUCGUGUCCCAAAUGCUGCAUUCAAUACUUAAUGAAUAAGGUAAAUUAGGGACUUUAUUUAUCUUGAGCUAACAUGUGAUGCAAGCUUUUCACUUGCCUAAUUUUGUACUGUACAUCGUCCUUUUUGGACUCUGUUUACAUUGAUUUCAAUUUCCUGUAAAAAGUUAAACUAGUUGUUGAAAAAGACUUAAAAAUGAUUUCUCAUCUAGUAUUCAGUAUGAGCUCCGAAAAGUGCCAAACAAAUCUAACGUAGUCCAGUGAGAACUGAGAAGUUCUGAUCCCGGUGAUGUGAAAAUCGGUUACUUAUCUAUUUAUUUAACGAUUUUAUUUUAUUUUAUUUUUUUUUAUUUUUUUUUAAAUUGGAAUUGACCUUAACUUGUGUAUGUUUGUAUUUUUUUGCACUUGUCAUCAGUUUUAAACUAUUUCAAUAGACUAGAAAAAAAUGUAAACUUCGUAAAACGUUGAUAUGUCUUUUUCAUAAGCCAACAAAAUAUGCAACUGUAAUAUAUCUGGUGAAUCUGACUUUGUGUUCUCCAGAAUACUAGAGAUUAAUCUCUCAAAAAGUACAUUAUGGAUGAGAGAAUUUUCCAAUCACCUUGUUUGUUGCAGUUCUUUUGGUUGUUUUUACAUUUGUUAUUUUGGCAUUCUCUUUGAAUAAUAAUAAAAUCAUAAUUUUGUUGCUGAAGAGAUGGCCUUCAUUUUAAAUUUGGAUGCAAUCACUUUAUCUAAUCGACAAGCAGCUCCUUCAGGUUCUGAAGCAGCACUUGACAUUUCAUACGACAACAGUCAAUCUCAUGACAGAGCAUUGCCAAACAGUGGCAACUUCCGAAAUUUGCAAGUGCAACAGGAUGUAGUAAUGAGAUUAGAGGAGAAGGUUACUAGCCAAUCCCAAGUUGUGCCGGAACCAAUUAGACCAACUGAUUUUCACGGAAAAAUAAAAAUAUUACUAGAACACAAGAUAGAUGAAUCUUAUGGUGAAACAGCGUCCACUAAUUACCAAUCCGAGUCCUCUCUGAAAGUCUUGUCAUCAAGAGUGGAAAGUGGAAUUGGCUAUGAGUUCUCUUCACCAGACAAUG